rnacentral:lncRNA from 1 species
CAUUAAAAUAUUAAGAACAAGCAUGUCAAGGAUCAAAAUCAAUUCUUUUCAAAUAAACUCCUCCUAUUUAAAUAUAAUCUUGCAUUGAUUUCAUCCUUAAAAUGUGUUUUCAAGUGAUUAAAAAAUUUGACUUGAUUCUUCUUAUAUACUUUCAUUUACUUUGUCUUUCAUUUUUACCUUCUUAUGCUCUAUACUCUAUUUGCUCCCUAUUCGGUGGAGUUGGAAGGGGCACGAGGUACUACCACUAGCCUCCCUCUUGUGCCGUCCCUAAUAUACCCUACACCGAAUAGUUAGGUCAAAUAGUGCCGGGUACUACCACUAGCCUCCCCAUUGGCACCAUUCCUAUGAUGAGCAAUAUAGAAAGGUUAAAACGUUCACUUCAAACUCUCCCUGUCUAAGUAUAAUUAAUUACGGAUUUUAUCUCUUUCAAAAGAAUGCUCACACAAGUCUCACAAAUGUGCCGAAUAUAUUAUGCUUGUUUUGCUUUUUCUUAAGAUUGAAGUAUUUGCCUUCACUUAGAUUUUACUUCUCUUGAAUAAUAUCCAUUUUCUUUUCUUUAUCUCUCUCUCUUUUUGUUAUUCUCAAGUAAUUUACAUGAAAGAGCAGAAUAAAGAAAUAAUCUUAUGUAUCAUAUAGAUGUAUAUCAUGCAAACAACAUUUUCAUUAUGCUCAAGAAUUCAUAGCUUCUCACAAGUCAAUUCAAAUCAGCAUUUUAAGCAUAAACUUGUGUAUUUCAU